CAAAUGCCCACAUGCCUUUGUUUUCUUUUCUUGGGUGAUGACACUGACAACAUUCUGUUUUUACAGGUGGCCUCCUUGCUGAAAUGUAGAGAGAAAACUGUAAACAGCAAUUUGCGUCCUGUUUACCCAUGUUUUUCUGUGCUGUAGUUCCCUGGCAGCUCUGCCAGACAUGGAGGGGAAUAUAGGCAGUAGCAGAGAAGGGUUCCCUCUCACUACUCCGAGAUCCCAGUGUGGCAACAAUCCAGUAACAGCACCAGCAGAAUGCAGAAAGGGCAGCACUGUACCUCCUCCAUGAAUGGCCUGAGACCAUUGUGAUUCACUCUGGGGAAAGCCAUUUGCCAUGCUGUGGACGGCACCAUGGAGAGGCCCGGAUGGUAAUGAAUUGAAGUCUCCUGACAA